GACGAACGCUGGCGGCGUGGAUUAGGCAUGCAAGUCGAACGGUAUCAUCCUUUCGGGGGUGAGAGAGUGGCGAACUGGUGAGUAACACGUAGGUUAUCUACCCUCAAGACGGGGACGAACCCAGGGAAACUUGGGCUAAUACCGGAUGUGAGCAACUUUUAGUUGUUUGAAAGGUGGCGUAAGCUGUCGCUUGGGGAUGAGCCUGCGUCCUAUUAGUUAGUUGGUGAGGUAACGGCUCACCUAGGCAAUGAUAGGUAGGCGGCCUUAACGGGUGGUCGCCCACACUGGGAUUGAGAUACGGCCCAGACUCCUACGGGAGGCAGCAGUCGAGAAUAGUCUACAAUGGUCGGAAGACUGAUAGUGCGACGCCGCGUGAACGAUGAAUCCCUUCGGGGUGUAAAGUUCUUUUAUAUGUGAGCAGUGCUUCUUAUAUUAACAGUAUGGGGAGAGAGAUAUUAGCAUAUGAAUAAGCAACGGCUAACUCCGUGCCAGCAGCCGCGGUAAU
rnacentral:rRNA from 1 species